UUUAUGCCGGCGACCGGCGUACGGGUGAGUAACGCGUAUCCAACCUGCCCUUUACUAUGGGACAGCCCGUCGAAAGGCGGAUUAAUACCGUAUGUUGUCAUGUUGAUGCAUAUUUUCAUGACCAAAGGCUUCGGCCGGUAAAGGAUGGGGAUGCGUCUGAUUAGCUUGCCGGCGGGGUAACGGCCCACCGGGGCGACGAUCAGUAGGGGUUCUGAGAGGAAGGUCCCCCACAUUGGAACUGAGACACGGUCCAAACUCCUACGGAAGGCAGCAG
rnacentral:rRNA from 1 species